rnacentral:rRNA from 1 species
GACGAACGCUGGCGGCGUGCCUAAUACAUGCAAGUCGAACGCUUCUUUUCCCACCGGAGCUUGCUCCACCGGGAAAAGAGGAGUGGCGAACGGGUGAGUAACACGUGGGUAACCUGCCCAUCAGAAGGGGAUAACACUUGGAAACAGGUGCUAAUACCGUAUAACAAUCGAAACCGCAUGGUUUCGUUUUGAAAGGCGCUUUACGGUGCCGCUGAUGGAUGGACCCGCGGUGCAUUAGCUAGUUGGUGAGGUAACGGCUCACCAAGGCCACGAUGCAUAGCCGACCUGAGAGGGUGAUCGGCCACAUUGGGACUGAGACACGGCCCAAACUCCUACGGGAGGCAGCAGUAGGGAAUCUUCGGCAAUGGACGAAAGUCUGACCGAGCAACGCCGCGUGAGUGAAGAAGGUUUUCGGAUCGUAAAACUCUGUUGUUAGAGGAGAACAAGGGUGAGAGUAACUGUUCACCCCUUGACGGUAUCUAACCAGAAAGCCACGGCUAACUACGUGCCAGCAGCCGCGGUAAUACGUAGGUGGCAAGCGUUGUCCGGAUUUAUUGGGCGUAAAGCGAGCGCAGGCGGUUUCUUAAGUCUGAUGUGAAAGCCCCCGGCUCAACCGGGGAGGGUCAUUGGAAACUGGGAGACUUGAGUGCAGAAGAGGAGAGUGGAAUUCCAUGUGUAGCGGUGAAAUGCGUAGAUAUAUGGAGGAACACCAGUGGCGAAGGCGGCUCUCUGGUCUGUAACUGACGCUGAGGCUCGAAAGCGUGGGGAGCAAACAGGAUUAGAUACCCUGGUAGUCCACGCCGUAAACGAUGAGUGCUAAGUGUUGGAGGGUUUCCGCCCUUCAGUGCUGCAGCUAACGCAUUAAGCACUCCGCCUGGGGAGUACGACCGCAAGGUUGAAACUCAAAGGAAUUGACGGGGGCCCGCACAAGCGGUGGAGCAUGUGGUUUAAUUCGAAGCAACGCGAAGAACCUUACCAGGUCUUGACAUCCUUUGACCACUCUAGAGAUAGAGCUUCCCCUUCGGGGGCAAAGUGACAGGUGGUGCAUGGUUGUCGUCAGCUCGUGUCGUGAGAUGUUGGGUUAAGUCCCGCAACGAGCGCAACCCUUAUUGUUAGUUGCCAUCAUUUAGUUGGGCACUCUAGCAAGACUGCCGGUGACAAACCGGAGGAAGGUGGGGAUGACGUCAAAUCAUCAUGCCCCUUAUGACCUGGGCUACACACGUGCUACAAUGGGAAGUACAACGAGUCGCGAAGUCGCGAGGCUAAGCUAAUCUCUUAAAGCUUCUCUCAGUUCGGAUUGUAGGCUGCAACUCGCCUACAUGAAGCCGGAAUCGCUAGUAAUCGCGGAUCAGCACGCCGCGGUGAAUACGUUCCCGGGCCU